AGGAGCCGGCUCCAGAUUCCUG
rnacentral:miRNA from 1 species